GACGAACGCUGGCGGCGUGCCUAAUACAUGCAAGUAGAACGCUGAAGCUUGGUGCUUGCACCGAGCGGAUGAGUUGCGAACGGGUGAGUAACGCGUAGGUAACCUGCCUGGUAGCGGGGGAUAACUAUUGGAAACGAUAGCUAAUACCGCAUAACAGUAGAUAUCGCAUGAUAGCUACUUGAAAGGUGCAAAUGCACCACUACCAGAUGGACCUUCGUUGUAUUAGCUAGUUGGUGAGGUAACGGCUCACCAAGGCAACGAUACAUAGCCGACCGGAGAGGGUGAUCGGCCACCCUGGGACUGGGACACGGCCCAGACUCCUACGGGAGGCAGCCGUAGGGAAUCUUCGGCAAUGGACGGAAGUCUGACCGAGCAACGCCGCGUGAGUGAAGAAGGUUUUCGGAUCGUAAAGCUCUGUUGUAAGAGAAGAACGAGUGUGAGAGUGGAAAGUUCACACUGUGACGGUAUCUUACCAGAAAGGGACGGCUAACUACGUG
rnacentral:rRNA from 1 species